AUGCGCCACCUUGUGGACUGGCGGCGCCCCCUUGUGGACUGGCUGCGCCCCCUUGUGGACUGGCUGCGCCCCCUUGUGGACUGGCUGCGCCCCCUUGUGGACUGGCUGCGCCCCCUUGUGGACUGGCUGCGGCACCUUGUGGACUGGCUGCGCCCCCUUGUGGACUGGCGGCGCCCCCUUGUAGACUGGCUGCGCCCCCUUGUGGACUGGCUGCGCCCCCUUGUGGACUGGCUGCGCCCCCUUGUGGACUGGCUGCGCCCCCUUGUGGACUGGCUGCGCCCCCUUGUGGACUGGCUGCGCCCCCUUGUGGACUGGCUGCGCCCCCUUGUGGACUGGCUGCGGCACCUUGUGGACUGGCUGCGCCCCCUUGUGGACUGGCUGCGCCCCCUUGUGGACUGGCUGCGCCCCCUUGUGGACUGGCUGCGCCACCUUGUGGACUGGCUGCGCCCCCUUGUGGACUGGCUGCGCCCCCUUGUGGACUGGCUGCGGCACCUUGUGGACUGGCUGCGCCACCUUGUGGACUGGCUGCGCCCCCUUGUGGACUGGCUGCGCCCCCUUGUGGACUGGCUGCGCCCCCUUGUGGACUGGCUGCGCCCCCUUGUGGACUGGCUGCGCCCCCUUGUGGACUGGCUGCGCCCCCUUGUGGACUGGCUGCGGCACCUUGUGGACUGGCUGCGCCCCCUUGUGGACUGGCUGCGCCCCCUUGUGGACUGGCUGCGCCCCCUUGUGGACUGGCUGCGCCACCUUGUGGACUGGCUGCGCCCCCUUGUGGACUGGCUGCGCCACCUUGUGGACUGGCUGCGGCACCUUGUGGACUGGCUGCGCCACCUUGUGGACUGGCUGCGCCCCCUUGUGGACUGGCUGCGCCACCUUGUGGACUGGCUGCGGCACCUUGUGGACUGGCUGCGCCACCUUGUGGACUGGCUGCGCCCCCUUGUGGACUGGCUGCGCCCCCUUGUGGACUGGCUGCAGCACCUUGUGGCUGCAGCACUAUGUAAUAAUAAUAUAUAUGUAUUUAUUUUAUUAAAUCAAAUUAAAGCCAGGCACCACACCCCAAUACGGAAAUGCAGGAAAUGGCAGUUACAGGUGUUAAAAAAUCCUAAGGGGGUCACUUCGGCCUCUCCCUUCCACCGUACUCAGCAGCACCACCUUCUUAACAAUUUUUUUUUUGAAUCUGCGUGUUGCCAGCUAUGUCCACCUGACACCACUAAUCAGUGUGUGUGUGUGUGUGUGUGUGUGUGUGUGUGUGUGUGUGUGUGUGUGUGUGGAUGGCGAGAAUGA
ensembl:lncRNA